UACGAAGGGUGCAAGCGUUAAUCGGAAUUACUGGGCGUAAAGCGUGCGUAGGCGGUUUGUUAAGUCUGUUGUGAAAUCCCCGGGCUCAACCUGGGAAUGGCAAUGGAUACUGGCAGGCUAGAGUGUGUCAGAGGAUGGUGGAAUUCCCGGUGUAGCGGUGAAAUGCGUAGAGAUCGGGAGGAACAUCAGUGGCGAAGGCGGCCAUCUGGGACAACACUGACGCUGAGGCACGAAAGCGUGGGGAGCAAACAGG
rnacentral:rRNA from 1 species